rnacentral:rRNA from 1 species
GGAUGAACGCUAGCGGCAGGCUUAACACAUGCAAGUCGAGGGGCAGCACGGGUAGCAAUACCUGGUGGCGACCGGCGCAAGGGUGCGUAACGCGUGAGCAACAUGCCCUAUACAGGGGGAUAAUCCAGGGAAACUUGGUCUAAUAUCCCAUAGUAUUUAGAGGAGGCAUCUUCUAUAAAUUAAAGCUUCGGUGGUAUAGGAUUGGCUCGCGUGACAUUAGCUAGAUGGUAAGGUAACGGCUUACCAUGGCAACGAUGUCUAGGGGGUCUUAAAGGAUGGUCCCCCACACUGGUACUGAGACACGGACCAGACUCCUACGGGAGGCAGCAGUGAGGAAUAUUGGUCAAUGGACGAAAGUCUGAACCAGCCAUGCCGCGUGAAGGAUGACGGCCCUAUGGGUUGUAAACUUCUUUUAUAUGGGAGCAAUAAGGUCUACGUGUAGAGAUUUGAAGGUACCAUACGAAUAAGCUCCGGCUAACUACGUGCCAGCAGCCGCGGUAAUACGUAGGGGGCAAGCGUUGUCCGGAUUCAUUGGGCGUAAAGAGCUCGUAGGCGGUUCAGUAAGUCGGGUGUGAAAGCUCCGAGCUCAACUCGGAGAGGCCACCCGAUACUGCUGUGACUCGAGUCCGGUAGAGGAGCGUGGAACUCCUGGUGUAGCGGUGAAAUGCGCAGAUAUCAGGAAGAACACCCGUAGCGAAGGCGGCGCUCUGGGCCGGUACUGACGCUGAGGAGCGAAAGCGUGGGUAGCAAACAGGAUUAGAUACCCUGGUAGUCCAUGCCGUAAACGUUGGGCACUAGGUGUGGGAGGGAAUCAACCCCUUCCGUGCCGUAGCUAACGCAUUAAGUGCCCCGCCUGGGGAGUACGGCCGCAAGGCUAAAACUCAAAGGAAUUGACGGGGGCCCGCACAAGCGGCGGAGCAUGUUGCUUAAUUCGAGGCAACGCGAAGAACCUUACCUAGGUUGAACUACGCAGGAAAAGCCACAGAGAUGUGGUGUCCUUCGGGGCCUGCGAUAGGUGGUGCAUGGCUGUCGUCAGCUCGUGUCGUGAGAUGUUGGGUUAAGUCCCGCAACGAGCGCAACCCUUGUCCUAUGUUGCCAGCACGUUAUGGUGGGGACUCGUAGGAGACUGCCGGGGUCAACUCGGAGGAAGGUGGGGACGACGUCAAGUCAUCAUGCCCCUUAUGUCCAGGGCUGCAAACAUGCUACAAUGGCUGGUACAACGGGCUGCUACAUCGUGAGAUGAAGCGAAUCCCUUAAAGCCAGUCUCAGUUCGGAUUGGAGUCUGCAACUCGACUCCAUGAAGCCGGAGUCGCUAGUAAUCCCGGAUCAGCAACGCCGGGGUGAAUACGUUCCCGGGCCU